rnacentral:tRNA from 1 species
GCGGCAGUAGUUUAACGGUAAAAUUGGGGUCUGUGGAACCUCAGUCGUGGGUCCGACUCCCACUUGCCGCC